CCGCGCCGAGCGUGGGGCACACACCGGGGAGAGAAAACCAGCGGCGAAGCAGCGCUGUCGGUGUGGCGUGGCUGCUGCCUCCCUUACAUCAUCUUUUUUGUUUUGCCUCAAGUUGACUCCCUUUUGUACCCUUUCCCUCACAAUACACGGAGGAGUUGUAUCCUUUUCUUGCAAUGGCGGGGUUCUCUGCUUUAUUACUCUCUUUAGAUCUCUUACUAGAGCUUACCUCAGUCCCAGAGCUGUAGGUCUUGGAGGAAUUUCCAGAACUUGUCUAAUUCCCCUCCCUUCCUAAGGCGGGAUCAGCAUUGUUGCCGGUAGAUAUUUAUCUAACCUGUUUUUAACCCUCUCCAGUGCUCACAAUUUCACAGCCUUUCUAGGCAAUUUGUUCUUUUCGCUCUUCUCUUCCAUCCACGUCCUUUGAAUUUUUCUUGGCUUCCUCAGAAUCGAAGCUCUUAGCUUUGGUUCCUGUUUCUUGUCGGUUCUGCACUUUGUCUCUUGAUAUCAUUUGGAGAUGUCAAUUUUGAGUUUUGAAGCAAGGCACCAAAGUUAACACUGUAUCUAAAAUCUUGUUAUGAAAAAAGGAUGUAAAUCCUGAGAGUUGCUUUUUGACCCAGCCAGAAGCAGCUAAAGAGUGUCUGGGGCAUCACCGUGUCUUGUUUUGAUGUUUAUGCCUUUAAGUCCUAGACUUGGUGAUUACAUAAGUAGCAAAACGAGUAACAAAGCAGAUUUAUUGCUUGCUCAAAGCAAAUAAUUCUUUGUCAUAUGCAUCACAACGUACCUAAUUUGAGGACCGAGUUUUCAUCACGAUUUAUUUUUGCCCUACUGAGUUUGAUUUGAUUUUUAUCCCUUUGUGAAUGAAUUUCUUAGCUGGUUAUUUCACAGGAGGGUCUAGCUGAGAAAUAGCCUGAGAUUGGCAGCUUCGUUCUGAUGAUCAGUGCUACCAGCGUGCCACUCCCAAAACAGUGGUUAUUUUUUCUUCCUGCUGCUUGAAAGUAAUUUUUCUCUUCUUUUGUAGUUGGGAAGACCUCUCUGAUCACCAGGUUUAUGUAUGACAGUUUUGACAAUACUUACCAGGCGACCAUUGGCAUUGAUUUCCUGUCAAAAACAAUGUAUCUUGAAGAUCGCACGAUCAGGCUGCAGCUGUGGGACACAGCCGGCCAGGAGAGGUUCCGCAGCCUCAUUCCCAGCUACAUCCGUGACUCUGCUGUGGCUGUCAUUGUCUUUGACAUUACAACAGGUUCGGCUGCAGCUCUGGGACACAGCAGGCCAGGAGCGGUUCCGCAGUCUCAUCCCCAGCUACAUCCGCGACUCCACUAUUGCUGUGGUAGUCUAUGACAUUACAAACUUGAAUUCUUUCCAGCAAACCUCCAAGUGGAUCGAUGACGUUCGGACAGAGAGAGGAAGCGAUGUCAUCAUCAUGUUGGUGGGGAACAAAACUGACCUGGCAGACAAGAGACAGGUUUCUGUAGAGGAGGGUGAGAGAAAAGCCCAAGAACUGAAUAUGAUGUAUAUUGAAACCAGUGCUAAAGCAGGAUAUAAUGUGAAACAGGUAUGUACAGGCUGUUGGUCAGAGAUGCCAUUGCAGGUGCUUGCUCGCGGGCAGCAGCCUACCACUUGCUGUUGCACUGCACUCGCUGCUGGAGCCUUUCUGAAAUCUUUCUGUAACCUUCCCUUCUGUCAACUUUUGGGAAACUGCUUUUUAUAUCAGGUGCAGCAUUUGGGGAUUCUUCCUUCCCUUGAGGAUGCUGUGAAUGAGGCUCCAACGUACUGCUCAAACUUCAUCCUGUGCUGCUCAUCUGUUACUAAUAGUCCUAAGUCCAGGGUCCCCUGGUAACUUACCUGAGGUUGUCUCAUUCUUAGCUGGAGGAUCUGGGAGUCUUAAAAACUUGGGGGGUCCUGAGGUCUCCCUGGUGGUCUCUGUGCUCUUGUAAGGGGUGGUGAAGCAGCCACUCUGCUGGAGAGCGUCUCCGUCACGGACAUCUCUAACUCUUCCUGUCUGUUCUUCCUUUUCUGUCUUCCCGCUUCUGUUUGCAUCUUUGUCCAGGCAAAUCACUACAGAAGAAGGUGAACAGAGAGCCAAAGAGCUGAAUGUGAUGUUUAUUGAGACCAGUGCAAAGACUGGCUACAAUGUGAAACAGCUUUUCCGUCGUGUGGCUGCUGCCUUACCUGG